AGAGUUUGAUCCUGGCUCAGAUUGAACGCUGGCGGCAUGCCUUACACAUGCAAGUCGAACGGCAGCACGGGAGCAAUCCUGGUGGCGAGUGGCGAACGGGUGAGUAAUAUAUCGGAACGUGCCCAGUCGUGGGGGAUAACGUAGCGAAAGCUACGCUAAUACCGCAUACGAUCUAUGGAUGAAAGCGGGGGAUCGCAAGACCUCGCGCGAUUGGAGCGGCCGAUAUCAGAUUAGCUAGUUGGUGGGGUAAAGGCCCACCAAGGCGACGAUCUGUAGCUGGCCUGAGAGGACGACCAGCCACACUGGAACUGAGACACGGUCCAGACUCCUACGGGAGGCAGCAGUGGGGAAUUUUGGACAAUGGGCGCAAGCCUGAUCCAGCAAUGCCGCGUGCAGGACGAAGGCCUUCGGGUUUAAACUGCUUUUGUACGGAACGAAAAGGUCUGCCC
rnacentral:rRNA from 1 species